ACCCGGAAGCUAAGCCUUACAGCGCCGAUGGUACUGCAGGGGGGACCCUGUGGGAGAGUAGGACGCCGCCGGAC
rnacentral:rRNA from 1 species